rnacentral:rRNA from 1 species
GAGAGUGGCGGACGGGUGAGUAACACGUAGGUGAUCUACCUCUGGAUGGGGGAUAGCCCAUGGAAACAUGGGGUAAUACCGCAUGAAGCCUGUAUCUUUCGGGGUAUGGGUUAAAGGUGCAAUUGUGCUGUCUGGAGAUGAGCCUGCGGCCCAUUAGUUAGUUGGCAGGGUAAGAGCCUACCAAGGCGAUGAUGGGUAGCCGGCCUGAGAGGGCGUACGGUCACACUGGGACUGAGACACGGCCCAGACUCCUACGGGAGGCAGCAGCUAAGAAUCUUCCGCAAUGGGCGCAAGCCUGACGGAGCGACGCCGCGUGGACGAAGAAGGCCGAAAGGUUGUAAAGUUCUUUUGCAGGUGAAGAAUAAGGCAGGGAGUGGAAUGCCCUGCUGAUGACGUUAGCCUGCGAAUAAGCCCCGGCCAAUUACGUGCCAGCAGCCGCGGUAACACGUAUGGGGCGAGCGUUGUUCGGAAUUAUUGGGCGUAAAGGGCGUGUAGGCGGUUCUGUAAGCUUGGUGUUAAAACUGCAGGCUUAACCUGUAGGUGGCGCUGGGAACUGCAGGACUAGAGUUCAGGAGGGGGAGCUGGAAUUCCUGGUGUAGGGGUGAAAUCUGUAGAUAUCAGGAAGAACACCGGUGGCGAAGGCGAGCUCCUAGCUAUGGACUGACGCUGAGGCGCGAAAGCGUGGGGAGCGAACAGGAUUAGAUACCCUGGUAGUCCACGCUGUAAACGAUGUGCACUAGGCG